rnacentral:tRNA from 1 species
GCCUUCGUGGUGCAGUGGUCAGCACGCUGGGCGCGUAUUCCAGAGGUCCGUGGUUCGAGUCCCGUCGAAGGCA